rnacentral:rRNA from 1 species
CCUACGGGAGGCAGCAGUAGGGAAUCUUCCACAAUGGGCGAAAGCCUGAUGGAGCAACGCCGCGUGGGUGAAGAAGGUCUUCGGAUCGUAAAACCCUGUUGUUAGAGAAGAAAGUGCGUGAGAGUGACUGUUCACGUUUCGACGGUAUCUAACCAGAAAGCCACGGCUAACUACGUGCCAGCAGCCGCGGUAAUACGUAGGUGGCAAGCGUUGUCCGGAUUUAUUGGGCGGAAAGGGAACGCGGGCGGUCUUUUAAGUCUGAUGUGAAAGCCUUCGGCUUAACCGGAGUAGUGCAUUGGAAACUGGGGGACUUGAGUGCAUAAGAGGAGAGUGGAACGCCAUGUGUAGCGGUGAAAUGCGUAGAUAUAUGGAAGAACACCAGUGGCGAAAGCGGCUCUCUGGGCUGUAACUGACGCUGAGGUUCGAAAGCGUGGGUAGCAAACAGGAUUAGAUACCCCGGUAGUC